GGAUGUGAGGGUUAUCUGGCUGUGACAUCUGUCACCCCAUGAUAACCAGGGUUGACUCAGCUGGUCUGGCUGGAGAGGCGGGUGUCCACUUCCUCCCUCACUGCUCCAUAUGUAUCCCUCCGGAAGCUGUGCGUUUGGUCGAGGAGGGUGACAUUCCCCAACAGAUGAGCAGCUGCAUUCCCCUGCUAGAACCUCCAGAGAAGCUCUCAAAAUUCCCCCUCAUCUUUGAAGCACCAACUCAAAUACUUUUUCUUCUGUGAAGCCUUUUUAAAUGCCUCAAUACAGAUUUAGUGACUUUUU
rnacentral:snRNA from 10 species